UCCUUAAAGAUAUAUUUUAAAAAAGUAUUAAAAAUACAAAAUAAAUAUGGUUAUACAUUUUAAUAUAAUUUUUACCAAUUUUGGAUAAACCAAGUUCCACUUGAAAUAAAAAAUUACAAUAAUGCUUUCAAAUGAGUAGAUAGUUGUAACCAAUUCUGAGUAGGAUCUUAUAGUUAUUAAUUCAUAAGUUUAGUAUUAUACAACAUAAUUUUAUUUAGUUACUUAUUUUACUUUAAUCCAUUUUAAAUAUACUGAUAAAUUGUUUGGUUCAGUAAUAUAAAUUAAAAUGAGUAACACCAACACUUUAUACCUACUAAAUAUAUGUAUUAUAAAAAUAUUUUAGUAUACAAUUUUAAAAUUUAAAACCAUUAUUGUUUUAUAAAUUAAAAUUAUAAAUAUUAAAUAUUAAUAUUAGUUUAUUAUUUACAAAAUAUUGUAAUGAUUAUUUUUAAUUAUUAAAUAAAUUGCAUACAUAAACCAAUAAAUAAUGCUACUAUAAACGUGAAAUUAAUAUAUUUACUCUUAAUGGUUGUUAAAAGACCUUUAUUAUAACUGCAGGCUUGCAAACGAGAAUGAAAAUGCAACAUAUUGAAGAAUAAAGUAGAAGUGGGAGGCAUAAGAAUGGGCUGUGUUUACUUGUGCAGUUUAGUGUUUCACAGACCCUUAGGUGAGAAGAUUAAGUCAUUCGUGUACAAACGUCGCAUCAUGAACGUCCUAAUCCCACUGGCUUUGUCGGUAUUCUUGCUCAAUCAAAAUAAUGCUUGGUUUAUAAAUCACAAAAAUUCAGGAGGUAUCGAAAAAAGUAAUCUUAAAUCAGUAUGGGAUCUACUAUAUUUUGAUAAAGAAAUAUUGGAACGUAAUAUCCCUAAAGAUACAUUAAAUAAAAAGAAGGUUAAAAGUUCCGACAUAUUUUCAUCUCUGAUGAAACGAACUCAAACUUCUUUAACUCCAUAUGAAAGUAUUGAGAAGUUUCUUACCAUAUGUUUGCUUAUCUGAUAAUAAAUGAAAAUGAGCACGUAUGGAUCUGCCUCCCUAAAACUAGCGGUUAAUCAUAAUAUUCAUGAAUGUACUUAAUGAAGUAAUUUUUCACAAAAUUUAAGUUAGCGAAUUCUCUAUGUACGAGAUAGAUGUUAUGAGUGACCUGAAGCAGUUUUUCGAUAAUAUAAGUGCUAAUGUUAAGCAAAUGAAAGAAAACCAGCAAUCUAAGUACAAUAUUCAAAGAAAAUAUGGUA